UACAGAGGUGGCAAGCGUUGUUCGGAAUUACUGGGCGUAAAGGGCGCGUAGGCGGUCCGCGAAGUCUGAUGUGAAAGCCCCGGGCUCAACCUGGGAAUGGCAAUGGAAACUGGCGGGCUGGAGUAUGGCAGAGGGGGGUGGAAUUCCGCGUGUAGCAGUGAAAUGCGUAGAGAUGCGGAGGAACACCGAUGGCGAAGGCAGCCCCCUGGGCUAACACUGACGCUCAGGCACGAAAGCGUGGGGAGCAAACAGG
rnacentral:rRNA from 1 species